rnacentral:tRNA from 4 species
AGACCCGUAGCUCAGUUGGUUAGAGCGCUGCCUUGACAUGGCAGAGGUCAGCAGUUCAAAUCUGCUCGGGUCUACCA